AAUGAACGCUGGCGGCGCGCCUAAUACAUGCAAGUCGAGCGAGAAGACGUAGCAAUACGUUUGUAAAGCGGCGAACGGGUGAGGAGUACAUGGGUAACCUACCCUCGAGUGGGGAAUAACUAGCCGAAAGGUUAGCUAAUACCGCGUACGCUUCUUGGACUUCGGUUCAGAGAGGAAAGCGAUGCCGAGGGUAUCGCGCUCUUGGAUGGGCUCAUGUCCUAUCAGCUUGNGGUGAGGUAACGGCUCACCAAGGCUUCGACGGGUAGCUGGUCUGAGAGGACGAUCAGCCACACUGGCACUGCGACACGGGCCAGACUCCUACGGGAGGCAGCAGUAAGGAAUAUUGCGCAAUGGGCGAAAAGCCUGACGCAGCGACGCCGCGUGGGGGAUGAAGGUCUUCGGAUUGUAAACCCCUUUCGGG
rnacentral:rRNA from 1 species